rnacentral:rRNA from 1 species
AGGAAUAUUGGACAAUGGGUGAGAGCCUGAUCCAGCCAUCCCGCGUGAAGGACUAAGGCCCUAUGGGUUGUAAACUUCUUUUAUACUGGGAUAAACCUACUUACGUGUAAGUAGCUGAAGGUACAGUAUGAAUAAGCACCGGCUAACUCCGUGCCAGCAGCCGCGGUAAUACGGAGGGUGCAAGCGUUAUCCGGAUUUAUUGGGUUUAAAGGGUCCGUAGGCGGAUCUGUAAGUCAGUGGUGAAAUCUCAUAGCUUAACUAUGAAACUGCCAUUGAUACUGCAGGUCUUGAGUGAGAUUGAGGUAGCUGGAAUAAGUAGUGUAGCGGUGAAAUGCAUAGAUAUUACUUAGAACACCAAUUGCGAAGGCAGGUUACCAAGUCUUAACUGACGCUGAUGGACGAAAGCGUGGGGAGCGAACAGG